GUGGGGAAUCUUGCGCAAUGGGGGGAACCCUGACGCAGCGACGCCGCGUGCGGGAUGGAGGCCUUCGGGUCGUGAACCGCUUUCAGCAGGGACGAGAGUGACGGUACCUGCAGAAGAAGCCCCGGCUAACUACGUGCCAGCAGCCGCGGUAAUACGUAGGGGGCGAGCGUUAUCCGGAUUCAUUGGGCGUAAAGCGCGCGUAGGCGGCCGCGCAGGCGGGGGGUCAAAUCCCGGGGCUCAACCCCGGGCCGCCCCCCGAACCGCGCGGCUUGGGUCCGGCAGGGGAGGGUGGAACGCCCGGUGUAGCGGUGGAAUGCGCAGAUAUCGGGCGGAACACCGGUGGCGAAGGCGGCCCUCUGGGCCGGCACCGACGCUGAGGCGCGAGAGCUAGGGGAGCGAACAGGAUUAGAAACCCCAGUAGUCC
rnacentral:rRNA from 1 species